rnacentral:rRNA from 1 species
AUGAUGGAGGAGCCACCGGUGCCCUUUGCUCACGCGGCGGCUCCGAUCGGCGAAGGCACUCCGGCCACGAUUGGGACCGCAUCAGAAACAGCAAGGCGUGUGGGGCGAUCCCGCGAUCGCGGCAAGCGCCGGAGGAUCGCCGAGGAGAGCGGCGGCUGGGCGUCCCUCCCCGGCGACUUGGUCCGCCUUGUCGCCGAGCGGGUGCGGCUCGACGGGGACGUGAUCGACUACAUCUCCCUCCGCGCGGCCUGCUCCGGCUGGCGUUCCAGCACGGACUUCCCGCGCAGCCCGCAGGAGCAGUACCAUUACUUCCGCCCUGGCGGCUGGGUCGCGCUCUGCGACGGCGACCAGACGCGCCCGGACGACGCGCUCCAGAUCGCCUUCUUCAAGCUCAGCACGGGACGGCGCCUCCGCGUCCGCUUCCCGACGAAACUCAGGGGCUACAGGAUAGUCUCCUUCAGCGGCGGCCUCCUCGUCCUGGUCCACAAGCGCUUCUCCAUUGUUCGCUUGCUCCACCCCUUCACCCGGAGCUACCUGGAUCUCCCGUCCAUUGCCCCGACCUUUCGCAUCGUCGUAGGCGUGAAAGACAAAAAAGAGUGUUUCCUCCGCAUGAACGCCGCCAUCUGCACGACGAGCGGCGCGACCCCCGACGCCUCUGUCGACGUUGUGGCCUGGUUCCCGGGGGAAAAGGCGAUGCUCUGGGCCAAGCCCGGCGAUGCCACCUGGAACGCCAUCUACCUCGACGUCGAGCUCCAGAGCGUCCUCGCCUACCGUGGCCGCCUCUACGCCACCGCUCGGGACUCGGCAAGCAUCCUUCAGGUCUACCCUCAGAGCAAUAUCUUUGCGGUGGACACUCCUAUCCCCGACGAGCUUGGCCCUCCGUCGUUAUGCCGCUCCUUCCUCGUCGAAUCCAACGACCACAUGCUGCUCGCUGUUCGCCACCGCGUGGCGCUCCCCAACACACACACCGCCGUCAAGAUCUUCGACGUGGAUCUCGACCGCCGGCAGCUGACCCCGGUGAGCGACAUUGGCGAUCGCGCGCUGUUCCUCGGCAAGGACAAAUGCCUGUCCGUCUCGGCCAAACACCUGCCGUCCAUCAGAGGAAACUCUGUUUAUACAUCUGAAGGUUGUGUCGAGUUAUACUCUCUCAGCAGUGACUGCCCCGAGAGCUAUUAUUUGUAUUCGAAGACGUUGUGGCACACGCGGCCCUUCACCAUUGCGGACCAUCUCAUCACGUACUGCAACCAUCUCGAGUGGGCGAGAGGGCUCAUGUUUCAUGAGUAUCCGUGUGAAGUAUAUAUUUCCAAGGAACUAAAGGAGAAACUCAAGAAGCAAGAUUCACAGCUGCGUAUUCCAACUCCCAAGAAGACAAGCAACCCAUCUGCAAAUUUAUCUAUAAUAUGA